AGCCGGAAUGGGAUUAAAAGCUUGCUCUUAUGAAGUAGCGGCGGACGGCCGAGUAACACGUGGGUAACCUGCCCAUAAGACUGGGAUAACUCCGGGAAACCGGGGCUAAUACCGGAUAACAUUUUGAACCGCAUGGUUCGAAAUUGAAAGGCGGCUUCGGCUGUCACUUAUGGAUGGACCCGCGUCGCAUUAGCUAGUUGGUGAGGUAACGGCUCACCAAGGCAACGAUGCGUAGCCGACCUGAGAGGGUGAUCGGCCACACUGGGACUGAGACACGGCCCAUACUCCUACGGGAGGCAGCAGUAGGGAAUCUUCCGCAAUGGACGAAAGUCUGACGGAGCAACGCCGCGUGAGUGAUGAAGGCUUUCGGGUCGUAAAACUCUGUUGUUAGGGAAGAACAAGUGCUAGUUGAAUAAGCUGGCACCUUGACGGUACCUAACCAGAAAGCCACGGCUAACUACGUGCCAGCAGCCGCGGUAAUACGUAGGUGGCAAGCGUUAUCCGGAAUUAUUGGGCGUAAAGCGCGCGCAGGUGGUUUCUUAAGUCUGAUGUGAAAGCCCACGGCUCAACCGUGGAGGGUCAUUGGAAACUGGGAGACUUGAGUGCAGAAGAGGAAAGUGGAAUUCCAUGUGUAGCGGUGAAAUGCGUAGAGAUAUGGAGGAACACCAGUGGCGAAGGCGACUUUCUGGUCUGUAACUGACACUGAGGCGCGAUAGCGUGGGGAGCAAACAGGAUUAGAUACCCUGGUAGUCCACGCCGUAUACGAUGAGUGCUACGUGUUAGACGGUUUCCGCCUUUAGUGCUGAACUUAACGCAUUACGCACUCCGUACUGGGGAUACGGCCCUCAAAGCUGAAACUCGAAGGAAUUG
rnacentral:rRNA from 1 species